rnacentral:rRNA from 1 species
AUUGAACGCUGGCGGCAGGCUUAGCACAUGCAAGUCGAGCGGAGAUGAGGUGCUUGCACCUUAUCUUAGCGGCGGACGGGUGAGUAAUGCUUAGGAAUCUGCCUAUUAGUGGGGGACAACAUUCCGAAAGGAAUGCUAAUACCGCAUACGUCCUACGGGAGAAAGCAGGGGAUCUUCGGACCUUGCGCUAAUAGAUGAGCCUAAGUCGGAUUAGCUAGUUGGUGGGGUAAAGGCCUACCAAGGCGACGAUCUGUAGCGGGUCUGAGAGGAUGAGCGGCCACACUGGGACUGAGACACGGCCCAGACCCCUACGGGAGGCAGCAGUGGGGAAUAUUGGACAAUGGGGGGAACCCUGAUCCAGCCAUGCCGCGUGUGUGAAGAAGGCCUUAUGGUUGUAAAGCACUUUAAGCGAGGAGGAGGCUACUGAGACUAAUACUCUUGGAUAGUGGACGUUACUCGCAGAAUAAGCACCGGCUAACUCUGUGCCAGCCGCCGCCGUAA